rnacentral:rRNA from 1 species
AUUGAACGCUGGCGGCAUGCCUUACACAUGCAAGUCGAACGGUAACAGGUCUUCGGAUGCUGACGAGUGGCGAACGGGUGAGUAAUACAUCGGAACGUGCCCGAUCGUGGGGGAUAACGGAGCGAAAGCUUUGCUAAUACCGCAUACGAUCUACGGAUGAAAGCAGGGGACCGCAAGGCCUUGCGCGAACGGAGCGGCCGAUGGCAGAUUAGGUAGUUGGUGGGAUAAAAGCUUACCAAGCCGACGAUCUGUAGCUGGUCUGAGAGGACGACCAGCCACACUGGGACUGAGACACGGCCCAGACUCCUACGGGAGGCAGCAGUGGGGAAUUUUGGACGAUGGGCGAAAGCCUGAUCCAGCCAUGCCGCGUGCAGGAUGAAGGCCUUCGGGUUGUAAACUGCUUUUGUACGGAACGAAAAGACUCUGGUUAAUACCUGGGGUCCAUGACGGUACCGUAAGAAUAAGCACCGGCUAACUACGUGCCAGCAGCCGCAGUAAGAC